UCCGCGGUAGCCAAGUGGUCGACGGCAGCGGGCUUAAGACCCGCCGGAUAGACCUUCGGAGGUUCGAAUCCUCCCCGCGGAA
rnacentral:tRNA from 1 species